CGAACGCUGGCGGCGUGCUUAACACAUGCAAGUCGAACGGAAAGGCUCCAGCUUGCUGGAGUACUCGAGUGGCGAACGGGUGAGUAACACGUGGGUGAUCUGCCCUGCACUUCGGGAUAAGCCUGGGAAACUGGGUCUAAUACCGGAUAGGACCGCACUUUGGUGUGUGUGGUGGAAAGGUUUUUCUGGUGUGGGAUGAGCUCGCGGCCUAUCAGUUUGUUGGUGGGGUAAUGGCCUACCAAGACGGCGACGGGUAGCCGGCCUGAGAGGGUGGACGGUCACAUUGGGACUGAGAUACGGCCCAGACUCCUACGGGAGGCAGCAGUGGGGAAUAUUGCACAAUGGGGGAAACCCUGAUGCAGCGACGCCGCGUGGGGGAUGAAGGCCUUCGGGUUGUAAACUCCUUUCGCUAGGGACGAAGCUUUUUGUGACGGUACCUGGAGAAGAAGCACCGGCUAACUACGUG
rnacentral:rRNA from 1 species